GACAUAGGCUGUGUCCCAAUUCCUAGGACGCAUCCUUCGAAGGCUGCAUUCGAAGGAUGCGUCGAUGCAGAUUGCGUCACAGCGACGCGCCAAGUGCUGUCCCAAUUCCAAGGGUCCUUCAAAUGCGGCCUACGAAUGCAGCCUUCUUUUCCCGGAUUUGAAGGAUGCAUCGGCUGUAUCCUUCACGGCCCAACGUAUCCCAAGAUCCUUCACGGCCCAACGUAUCCCUCCCAAGAUUCAUUGCGCACUCAAUCAAUGGAGAUGGCAGAGAAUGGCGAUUUAAGUUCUGCAUUUAAAUGAUUGCAAGUAUCCAGGGUCAGGAGAGGGGGUAGGUGGGAAACCCUCUGCUGCCACUUGGCCCUGGUUUGUCCCCAUGGAUAAGGUAUUGGAUUGGGACAGAGGCAUUCCACCAACCCCCCUGUCCUAAUUGCCUCCAUCCCUGAGAACACACCAGGGCCAAGUACAGCAGUGGUGGAUCAGGAGGUUGAGGACAAGGAUCAGGAGGAGGAAAGACAGCGAGGGCCAAGGUCCAGAAAGAGGGACAGAGAGGAAGACAUGUUCCAGAGUCGCUCACUAUCUUCCGAAAAGGACUCAAGAUUCACCUGUUCAGAAUCCACCUCGACUGCAUAGCCACCCUCCCCCUUCUGGCAACCAUUGUACACUGUGUUGUAUUGUAUUGUAUUAUAGUACUUAACUGUGUAGCAACUGCAGUAGCUGCUAUCAUGGCUGUAACACGGGGCCUAGCGAUUGUGGUACUUGCACUUGGUUCUAUGAACAUCCUUUCUGUACCGACAGCGAUAUAUUGAUGCACUUCUUAUGACAAAUGUACUUAUUGUAAGUCGCUUUGGAUAAAAGCGUCUGCUAAAUGUAAAAUGUAAAUGUUCCAGUUAAUAAAAGAGGACAUGAGGCUACAAAGGGAGGCAGAGGAGAGAAGAGCCCAGGAAAGCAGGGAAAGAAUGGAUAGGUUUUUCUAAAUUUUGGAGCGUUUGGUGGACAACUUAUGUUCUGUUAUAUUUAACACAUUGUUUAUUAUUAUUUACAUAUUUAUUGAAACUAACUUAUUUAACUAACUUUUUUGAUUAACUAUUUAUUAAAACCCUUACUAACUUUUUUGUAUUGACUAAUGUAUUCGUAUAUAACUUAUAAAACAUAUAUACAACAAUAAAACUAUUUACAACAAACAUU